rnacentral:rRNA from 1 species
UACGUAGGUGACAAGCGUUGUCCGGAUUUACUGGGCGUAAAGAGCGCGCAGGCGGUCGUUCAAGUCGAGUGUGAAAGCCCCCGGCUCAACUGGGGAGGGUCAUUCGAUACUGAUCGACUCGAAGGCAGGAGAGGGAAGUGGAAUUCCCGGUGUAGUGGUGAAAUGCGUAGAUAUCGGGAGGAACACCCGUGGCGAAGGCGGUUCUCUGGGACGGUACUGACGCUGAGACGCGAAAGCGUGGGGAGCGAACAGG